CCAGAGGUCCCGAGCGUUGUUCGGAUUCACUGGGCGUAAAGGGUGCGUAGGUGGUGAGGUAAGUCGGAUGUGAAAUCUCCGGGCUCAACCCGGAAAUGGCAUUGGAAACUACCUUGCUGGAGGAUUUGAGGGGGGAUUGGAAUACUUGGUGUAGCAGUGAAAUGCGUAGAUAUCAAGUGGAACACCAGUGGCGAAGGCGAAUCCCUGGAAAAUACCUGACACUGAGGCACGAAAGCUAGGGGAGCAAACAGGAUUAGAUACCCUGGUAGUCCUAGCCCUAAACGGUGCUUGCUUGCUGUAAGAGGAAUCGACCCCUCUUGUGGCGGAGCUAACGCGUUAAGCAAGCCGCCUGGGAAGUACGGUCGCAAGAUUA
rnacentral:rRNA from 1 species